UAUGAUGGAAAGGAGGAAUGAUUUUUGCAAAUGAGAUGAAGGUGCCAAGGCUCAAGUCACUCACUGCAAAUCUGAAUCGCAUGGGUGUGACCAAUACUGUGGUCUGCAACUAUGAUGGAAAGGAGCUACCUAAAGUUUUGGGUAUCAACGUUAUUUGUUGAUAGAGUGUUAUUGGAUGCUCCUUGUAGUGGGACAGGGGUAAGUAGCUGCAUUAUGUGACAAUAGAUUUCUCUGUUUAGCCAAUUACCUUGUUUUUCUCUUGAGUAAACUAAAUCAGUUGUAUUUUGCAGGUUAUAUCAAAAGAUGAGUCUGUUAAAAUUACUAAAAGCUUAGAUGAGUCGAUAAAAGCUUAGAUGAGUCUUUAUAUUAGGAAUUUUUUAUUUAUGUUCAUAUUCUUUUGGUUUUGGUUCAGAUUUAUUUGAUGGGUUCUUAUUGAUACUAGUGUUUAGGUUAGUCUUUCUCAGAAAUGGUGACUUUCAGGUUUCAUCAGUACCAGGUUGUGGGAAGGGCUCUCCCUACUGAGUCAAAUGACCAUCCUAAGAUUUACAAGAUGAAGCUUUGGGCCACCAAUGAAGUCCGUGCCAAGUCCAAGUUUUGGUAUUUUCUGAGGAAGUUAAUGAAGGUGAAGAAGACCAAUGGACAAGUUCUUGCUAUCAAUGAGUACUUGAUGAAGGUGGAAUAAUUCAAGUGGAUUAUCAUGUUGGAUUCAACAGUUUCUACCUCUGCAUAAUUACAGUAGCACGCUGAUGUUAGUGAUGCAAGUUGGUGGCCAACCUGGAGACUCUUCUAUAAGCAAUUUUAUUUUUAACACAUGUAUUAAAUAUUUAGGUUAAUAUACCAAUAAUAAGAUUUUAUCAAAUAGUAAUUACAUUA